UUCGCUUGAACGCACCAAACGCUUAUAUAGCGCAGAAGACUGGCCAGCCACAUGCUUGCUCAUUCGAUUAGUCUUGUGAUCGACCUGAAGACGCCUUUCUCAAUGUCGAAGUUAUGUCUUAGAAAUGCUUCAUUGGUGUUUAACGUUAGUUAUUGGUACACUGCUGCCACUUGAGUCUUGCAAUGCUCCUGAACUGGUCAUUAACUCUCAAGUAGCUAGAUUGGUAGUUGUGGAGGGUUUGGGCCUUGCAGAACCAUGCACGUGGGGAACUGGAGAAACGUAAAACCAUUCCGGGGUUCUAGAUUCGGGAGCCCACUCCUUCUGGACCUGGCCAGGGCGGUGUGAACUGGAGCAUACCCCAUUGACUGCACAUGGCUGGAGUGAUUACCGCCCCAAUGAGUUGAUGACUAGAAGACUCAAGGUAAGACUACCACACCCAUUUCACCUAGACUUAACUUUGACAUUUUAUCGUGGUAUCCGUCUAGUCUCGUUGUGACUAAACUGAAAAUAGCUGGAAUUACCGUCAGAUUGUUUAGUGGUGAUAAUUUGGUUUUCUGAACCUGACCUGGCAGUUACUUUAAUAUUUACUUUAGUUUCUUCCCCACUCUUGAGCUGCUUCUGAAUAGAUGAUAGUAUUCAUAUUCUCAUAACCCUUGUGAUUUUGUUUUUAACAAAAGGUGUUAAACCACCCCAAUGGGUUGAUGGCAAGUAGACGAGUAUUCUGGUAAGGUGGUGUCCCUUUGAAUAACACACCUGCAAGUUCUCCCUGGACUGGACAUGUGGACGCUCCCAUCGAUACUUCAGAUUCUCUUCCACGUGGCCGGAGUUUCCAAGAUGGCCGGCGCUUCAUUUCUUCCUCUGGAAGUGAUCAACUGGAAGAAAGGAGUUGUUGUGUGGUAGCCCAUAUGGGACUCGCCUGGGACAUGGAUGCCUGAAGACCUAAGGCUCAACAUUGUUAAUAAAUAUCACCUGGGCGUAUGAGCAGCAGUGUGCAGUGGUUUCCUUUGUCUUUUCCAUGUGUGUUCUGCUUUGUUUAUUUUGAGGUUUUGCUGACUAAUGGUGUUUGUCUGUGAUUAUAGAAAAGACAGUCAAUUCUUUUUGACUUCAAUAAAUCGGUUUUAACCAUG